rnacentral:sRNA from 1 species
GCUGGGUGUGGUGGCUCAUAUCUGUAAUCCCAGCAGCUUGGGAGGCUGAGGCAGGAGGAUUGUGAGUUCAAAGCCAGCCUUAGUAAAAGCAAAGAGCUAAGCACUCGGUGAGACCCUGUCUCUA